CGUUCGCAAUUACAUAUACACACACACACACCCACAUACGUAUAAGUCUGCUUUCGUUGGACUUCCGAUUCGCGAGGGUGCUCGAGAAAAAAUAGCAGCGAAAAAGACGGUCAAGAAGCUGAUAUUUUUUCCUCCCGGCUCUCCUUCUCGGCCUGAUCUCCACCUCAAUCUUUCACAGCUUGUCUAUCUUGCAACUCGAAUCUCCGAGGGGAAAAGAGUGUUAAUUAAUCGUGUCGUUAUAGUGUCGCGACAUUGUUUGACGACAAAAGCUCAUUAAAACAGCUAUAUUGGCAAACGUUUCGUUCAAGUGUGAAAGAUGAGCCAGAGCCUUGGUCCUCUCAAGAACGACAUGGAUAUCUUUGACAAGAUUUUCGCCAACGAAGAAUUAGUUUGAAUACAAAGCCAUGUGGAUUACAAUGCAAAGCCAUCGAAAAGCAAGUCACCAGUCAGCAGACUGGCCGCGCGACAAUUACAAUCAUCAAGCCGAAAAAUCCAUAAUCCUCAAGGAAAUAGUACUACAUCGUCGCUCUCUGACAAUCAUUAUGCAGCCGAUCAAUCGCGCGAGUGCAACAACGGCGAGCUACCAUCAUCCGUUCGUCACCCAAUGAGCGUCCAAACGACCGCUCGAAAUGCCGGAUAAAUGAGAAAAUAAUAUAUAUAUAUAUCAGCUGAAGCUGCGAGCAAUAGAUUUUUAGAAUAAUCGAGACUCGUCUCGAUAGGCUGCAUUAGAGUUGAAGAAAAAAAAAAAAAAAAAAAAAAAAAAAAAAG